AGGGUUAAAAUCCGGUUCUGUCACUACAAACUUGGCUUCGGUUCUGAGUAGCAGGCCACCGUUUCAAGCUUCUUAUUGUGUAUUCAUCUACCAGAUGAUUGAAAGUAGCCAAUGUGGGGAUAAUUUGGAAGGGGAAGUAACAUUGUCACAGCUGGAUUUUAAAUGACCUGGCAGGAUCUGAAAGUUCUAAAACAGAACAAAACUGGAAUGAGGAGAAGAGGUAAGGAAAUGGUUCAAAGCUCUUCAUGGUUAUGCAUAAUAUCAGUUGUAAGUUGCAAUGAUCAAAUAGUUAGGUCCUAAUGUAUCUAUAUUUUGUACUUCAACCAACUUACUAGGUUGUGAUUAUUGGUUUCAAUUGCAAAUACCGUAUCUGGAGUCGAUUGAUUGGUUUGCUGGUCGCUAUGAAGAAUUGCUCUUACCCAAAAGUGGAAGGUUUCGAGUGAACUUUGUGAACCAUUUUGGGGUGUUGAGGUGAGGUUGGUAAGAAAUAAGGACACUAGCAUUCAGAAGUAAAGAUGAUGUUGAAUAGGCCAUUGAAGAGCUACAUGACAAAGAAUUUAAGGUCCGUUUACACAGAGAGUUUUGCUGACACUGGAAGAGAAGCAUCUUCCUUAUGGCCUAAAGUUAGUUGAUCUCGGUAACAAGCCAGCCUGGUUUUUAAGUAUUAGCCCAGAAGGUAAAGUCCCAGUGGCGAAAGUUGAUGACAAAUGGAUAGCAGAUUCCGAUGUUAUUACACAGACAGUAGAGGAAAAGUUCCCCGACCCGUCACUGGUGACCCCACCUGAGAGCUUCUGUGUACACUCAUGCUCUUUGUCUCCCCUUUGUUCAGUUUACAUUCAUUUUUGCAAAUUGAUGUUGAAUAAUGGUAUUUCUGAUUCAUAUAUCUAGCGGGUCGAAAAUCUUUUCGACAUAUAUUGGCUUCUUAAAAAGCAAAGAUGCGAAUGAUGGAACGGAGAAAGCUUUACUGAAUGAACUCUCUGCUUUCAAUGAUUACAUCAAAG